UUUUUUGAAAAAAGUAUCAUUUUUCAAAUAAAAUAAUCUGUCCUUGUAGAACCUUCUUCCAAGUCCAUCGAAUGUGUUGAUUACUCUGUUUCCAAGGAUGGGCCCUAUUUGUGGCAGUGACAUUGGUACCCUAUGGGCUGGAGUCUAACAAUGCCAGUGUUUCUUGAGUUCCAAACACUUUUGACAGAGUGAAUUCAGUUAAUUAUUGACAUAAUCUUCUAAGAAAGACCUUGUUAUCCCUUUUUAUGGAUGAGAAAACUGAAUCAGAGAGAGUAAAGUUAUUGGCUCAAUACUACUCUGGCUUCAAGGACUACCAUAUUUGAAGAUAAUUCCACUAAUAUUUAUCAAGCACCUACUAUUUACCUAUCACUGUACUUAGCCCUGGAGACGGCUGAGAAUCAUAAACAGGACACACAAACCAUCCCUAUAGGUUUUAUAGUCUCAGCCACAGCUAGAAAGAAGCAAACCAGCAGUUUCAGUAGAGUGCGACAAGUUCUGUGAUGGGGUGGGAAGCCUGCAGAUUUCCUCACCCAGUCUCAUCCUCCUGCCCCUCCCUUACCUCUCAUGUUCCUUUGUUCCUGCUCUCUAACCUUCAGUCCCUGUAGUAGGCAGGGAGGGACAGGACCAAGAGGAUAUACAGAGUUAUCUAGAAAGGUAUUUAUUAUGAGAGAUUGGCUCAUGUGAUCCUAGAGGCUGAGAAGUCUCUUGAUCUGCUAUUUGCAAGCUGGAGACCCAGGGAAGCCAGUGGUUUAGCUCCAACCCAACUCUGGAAGCCUGAGAACCAGGAGUGUCCAGAGCCAAAAGCAGAAGAGGGAUGCCCCAGCCAAAGAAGAGAGAGCAAAUUUGCCCUUCCUCUGCCUUUUUGUUCUACUUGGGCCCUCAGUGAAUUGGAUGGUACUUACCCAUGUUGGUGAGGGAAGUCUGCUGAUUCAAGUGGUAAUCUCUUCUGGAAACAUCCUCACAGACACACCCAGAAAUUAUGUUUUACCAACUGUCUGGGCAUCCCUUAGCCCAAUCAAGCUGUCACAUUAAAUUAACCAUCACAAUUCCCUUUUCCUCUCUUUCCUUCACUCUGUCCUUAUUUUCAUAGCUCAGUCUCUUCCUCAUUCUUUCCUUUUACCUGAUCCUUCCAAUUAUUUGGAGUGGAUGGCAGUUGCAUGGUAGAGGGGAUUAGCACAGGACUAGUGCUUUGCUCUUUGGGGAUCCCAUUCCUGUUCUGAUUUAAGUCAGUGUCACUUAUCUCUCUGGGCCUCUAAUUUCAAUGAAAUGAAGAGAACGAUUCCUGCUCUGAUUUUCAGAUAGGAUGGCUGGAAAGAUCAAAUACACUAAUAGAUAGCAAAACAACUGGCCAAGUGGCAAAAGAUAUGCAAAUGUAAGUUACAAAUUGCAGGUGUCAAAAAACAAAGGGAUUGGGAUCCACCUCUUAAGUGUCUGGACACUCAUAUGCACAAAAGCAAUGUAUUUUCUAGCUCAAAUCGCUUGAGGCUGGAUGACACUUUCUCUCAGUUCUCAGCAUGUAGGCUUCGUUGCCUGAAAUUCUUCCAUUCCUUUCUCCCUGCCAAAAAACUCCCAAUUAAUGAAACCAUUGCUCUGUGUGCCCAGGGCUGGGUGAGUUAUUGGGAGAACAAUGUGAGGGCUGUACGGAAGCACUUAGUUAAAUGCACAAUUGUGGAUUGCCAGCACCAUAUUUGGAACAGAGUAAUUAUACUCAUUAUAAUGUAAAAUGCUGCUGAUUGGAAGAUAGGCCGUCAAUUUAACUACAACUUUUCAAGAAAAGAAAUAUCAGAAAUGUUAAACGUACACAUCAAUUUAAGACAUUCUGAUUUUAGAAAUAUAAUAAUGUGGGGAGAAAAAAGCAUGCCUCUUAGAAUUGAAGAAUUAGGGUAAUGACUGGAAAUGGGAAUUUGGACAGAUGAAGUUAAGUAGAGAGAAAAUAAAUUUGGCAUGCUAGGCAAGUUGUUAGAGAAAAACAUAUCCACAUGCAUGUUCCAUGAGGGCCUGCAAGAGAUACGCCUGGGCUCCGUGCUGACUCAUCAUAGUGAAUAAAAUACCCCCUGCCCUCAAGAAGCUCAGAGUCAGUAAAUGAGACCCAGAUUUCUAAGCUGAAUAAUUGACUCCAGAGUGGCGAAUGCUAGGAUGACGAAUGACAUGUGCAGAGAGCGUAAGGUGAACAUAGGUGAGCAUUUACCUCUCAUGGGGGUGACAGGAGUCGAGGAGAAUUUCUAAGGAAAGUGAUACCUGUUGUGAAUUUCCAGAGGUGAAAAGGAGUGGGCCAGGAGAAGAGGCUGAGAUGGCAUUGGAGAGAGAGGGUAACCCGGCAAAGACACGCGGGUGGGAAUUGUUUCUGUGCAUUCUUGCAGGGAGAGCCUAGGAGAGGGAGGCAAUGCUCUAGGGAACAGAUCAGCAGGGAACAGAACCACUUAAAGCAGCUAUUCUUAAAGUGUGGUUUGCCCUUUCUCCGUACCCCAGGGCCUCUGAGACCCUUUCAUGAAGUCUGAGAAGUCAAACCUAUUUUUCUAAUACUAAGAUUUCAUGUGCCCUUUUCAGUCGCAUUCUCUCAGGGGUGUACAGUGGAGUUUCUCAGCGGCUAGAGGAUGAGUGAGAUCAAGACAGACUGAAUGCUGAAGCAGAGAUGCGAGCUCAGCUGUCUUCUAUUAAAUCAGACAUUUGAGAGAUUUCCCAAAAGGCAAAACGGUGCCAUUUUUUUCAGUAGUAAUUACCUGUUUUGGAAAAUGUAGUGAUUUUUUCAUAAAUAUAUGUUAUUUAUGCAAACAGGAAAUGGGUUUAAUAUUUUUAUAUUUAAAUGAAUAAAAACUUGUUUAAAAUAUCUUAGUUUUAGUUUGUAAUGUAGUGAACGUUGGUGAAUAUGAUCCACAUAAGUGAAAGUUCUUUGGGGUUUCUUAUAAAAUUUAAGUUUGAAAAACACUAGAUUGAGGGUUAGCUUUCUGCUCAAAGAGUUAAAAAUGGAACUACCAUUUGACCCAGCAAUCCCAUUACUGGGUAUAUACCCAGAGGAAUAGAAAUCAUUCUGCCACAAAGACACGUGCGUGUGAAUGUUCACUACAGCCCUAUUCACAAUAGCAAAGACAUGAUAUCAACCUAAAUGUCCAUCAAUGACAGAUUGGAUAAAGAAAAUGUGGUACAUAUACAUGAUGGAAUACUAUGCAGCCAUAAAAAAGAAUGAGAUCAUGUCAUUCGCAGGAAGACGGAUGGAGCUGGAGGCCAUUGUCCUCAGCAAACUAACCCAGCAACGGAAAACCAGAUACCACAUUUUCUGAGUUAGAAGUUGGAGCUAAAUGAUGAGUAAACAUGGAUGCACAGAGGGGAACAACAAAUCCUGGGGCCUACUUGAGGGUGGAGGCUGGGAGGAAAGAAAAGAGCAGACAAAAUUAAUAUUGGCUACCAAACUUAGUAUCUGGGUGAUGAAAUAAUCUGUACAACAAACUCCCGUGACACGAGUUUACUUAUGUAACAAACCUGCGCAUGUACCUGUGAACCUGAAAUAAAAGUUUUUUUAAAAAGUUAGCUUUCCAGGAGGGGUGUUUGCCGCAAGUGCCAGCAGGGGGCAGUAUUGGGCCAAGGCCCUUGCAGCAGGAGGUAGGAUAGAAGUGGGUCGGGGAGUGGAGGAGGAUAGUGACCUAAGGGGAAGCCUCAGGCAAGCCAUUCCUCCAUAAAGUUUCUCUGCUCUCUGUUCUAGAAGUGAGUCACCGUUUCCUGAGGUGCCUGGUGCUGGAGCUGGCAUUUGUCCUUUAUCUUGUCUUUACAACAUCACCAUGAGAAAGGGGCUGAUGAAUUUGGCUUGAAUGUCUUGGUCUCCUCUUCCCAGUUGAUUGGAGCUGUUUGAGGCCAUGAAGAAGAUACAGGGCUCUAAUGGCACAAACAGAGAGCCUGCCAGAAGGAGCAGGCUGGCAGCUCACAGAUGCUGCCCGUCUCCCCACAUCAGUUGGCCAGCGGUGCUGAGGACUCACCCCCAGGCAAGCAUCAAAGCAUCGGGAGGACAUUACAGUAUACCCGUAAUCACACCUGUUCCUGCUAUGGGGUCAGCUUUCUGCAAGAAGGUUCAAUUGCUCAUUCAUUCAUUCAUUCAUCCACUCAUUUAGCAGGCAUGCAUUGAGCACCUGCUGUUGCUCAAACAUUGUACUGGGCACCAAGGGGAUCACAAAUACAAAUUCGCUUGUUUAUUCAUGCAA